rnacentral:rRNA from 1 species
GAUGAACGCUGACAGAAUGCUUAACACAUGCAAGUCAACUUGAACUUCGGUUUGGGUGGCGGACGGGUGAGUAACGCGUACAGAACUUGCCUCACAGAUAGGGACAACAUUUGGAAACGAAUGCUAAUACCUGAUAUUAUGAUUUUAGGGCAUCCUAGGAUUAUGAAAGCUAUAUGCGCUGUGGGAGAGCUUUGCGUCCCAUUAGCUAGUUGGAGAGGUAACGGCUCACCAAGGCGAUGAUGGGUAGCCGGCCUGAGAGGGUGAUCGGCCACAAGGGGACUGAGACACGGCCAUUACUCAUACGGGAGGCAGCAGUGGGGAAUAUUGGACAAUGGACCAAGAGUCUGAUCCAGCAAUUCUGUGUGCACGAUGAAGUUUUUCGGAAUGUAAAGUGCUUUCAGUUGGGAAGAAAAAAAUGACGGUACCAACAGAAGAAGUGACGGCUAAAUACGUG